CGUACCUACGGGACGCAGCAGUGAGGAAUAUUGGUCAAUGGGCGGAAGCCUGAACCAGCCAAGUCGCGUGAGGGAAUAAGGCCCUACGGGUCGUAAACCUCUUUUGCCGGGGAGCAAGGGCCGGGACGCGUCCCGGCCCGGAGAGUACCCGGAGAAAAAGCAUCGGCUAACUCCGUGCCAGCAGCCGCGGUAAUACGGAGGAUGCGAGCGUUAUCCGGAUUUACUGGGUGUAAAGGGAGCGUAGACGGCACUGCAAGUCCGGAGUGAAAGCCCAAGGCUUAACCAUGGGACUGCUCUGGAGACUG
rnacentral:rRNA from 1 species